CUGUACCCUUAGCACGAACAUUUCAUCGUUUCCGUAUUUCAUUACUACACGUUAACUUUGAACGUAUUGAAAUGGCAGCAUAAGCCUUCGUCGUGUGCCGGUCGUUACAACGUUACCAGAGUUAAAAUAAGGUUGUACCACACUGAGAUUGUUAAGUUCAAAACCUUCAUAAUAAUUUCAAAGUAAGCAGCGAUUCCUUAUAAACGCACUUUAACAAUUGUCUAUGGAUGAUAACUAUGAUUUGAACGCACAUCCUAACUUUUUUUUUUGACAUUUGUCAUCUGUCAUCUGUCAAAUUAUCAAUCUAUUGACACUAACUGACAGGUCGGCUUUCAUAAUUAUUUGUUAAAUUUGUUUAUUGUUUUAUUGAAUUCAACGCAGUGAUAUUUGCCUACGGAUACCAACGCCAAGGCCCACGGAUGGAGAGGUCGCCAGUGGUGCCUUAAUAAGUGGAAAAAACUAGCCAAGCUCAAAGCGAAGGGACGGGACGAGGAGUGAUAAGCAGAGGAGAACAUUGCAGGUAUGGAGUGAUUAUAAGAAUAAUACAAAGAGAAAAUGCUCCUAAAUUGCCUAAGGGGGCACAGUGAAUGGUUGAUGGUUCAGCCCUAAAAUGGAUAUGUCAGAUUGAAAGCUGCCGGUGAACGCUAUAUAAUUGAUGUGAUCAGAUAUAGAAUCAGCAUGGAACAUGUGCCUGGUACGAGGAGCCAGCCCAAUCCAGCUAUACCAGCGUAUCCUGUACCCAGCAUCAUGGACCAGGCCACCGCCUGCAAGUGCACCCCCGUGAAGGCAUAAAUUAUAAGUGUGCAUUUUGAUUGCUCGGUGAAGAAUACAUUUAGGAGAAAAGAUAAAUCAUACAUUUUGUUAUACUAUGCUGAUGUUUGCAAAUGUUACAUGAUACUACCUACUAAGAUAAAUAUGUUUUUUGUAAAAUAAAGAAUAAAAAACUGUUAAACAGAA